GUUCGAGCGUCAUUACAACCCUCAAGCAUUGCUUGGUAUUGGGCUCCGCUGUUUAUCCAGCGGGCCUUAAAAUCAGUGGCGGUGCCAUUGGGCCCUGAGCGUAGUAAAUAUCCUCGCUAUAGGGACCCUGUGGUUACUAGCAACAACCCCCACUUUUUAAGUUUGACCUCGGAUCAGGUAGGGAUACCCGCUGAACUUAA
rnacentral:misc_RNA from 1 species